CCUCCGAUAGCUCAGCGGUAGAUCGCCGGGGCAUGGUAGCUUACCGUCUUCAAGCGUUACGUAUAUACCACCCGGAGGCGGCUGGUUCGAUUCCAGCUCGGAGGA